AUACGUAGGGUGCAAGCGUUGUCCGGAAUUAUUGGGCGUAAAGAGCUCGUAGGCGGCUUGUCGCGUCUGCUGUGAAAUCCCGGAGCUCAACUCCGGGCCUGCAGUGGGUACGGGCAGGCUAGAGUGCGGUAGGGGAGAUUGGAAUUCCUGGUGUAGCGGUGGAAUGCGCAGAUAUCAGGAGGAACACCGAUGGCGAAGGCAGAUCUCUGGGCCGUAACUGACGCUGAGGAGCGAAAGCAUGGGGAGCGAACAGGAUUAGAUACCCUGGUAGUCCAUGCCGUAAACGUUGGGAACUAGAUGUAGGGCCUGUUCCACGGGUUCUGUGUCGUAGCUAACGCAUUAAGUUCCCCGCCUGGGGAGUACGGCCGCAAGGCUAAA
rnacentral:rRNA from 1 species